AGGGAAAUAGCUCAGUGGUAGAGCAUAUGCUUAGCAUGCAUGAGGUCCUGGUUCAAUCCCCAGUACCCCUA
rnacentral:tRNA from 1 species